CUCGACGUAGCCAAGUGGUCGAAGGCGGCGGCCUGCAAAGCCGCAGGCGCAAGCCCGCGUCCGUUCAAAUCGGACCGUCGAGUCCA
rnacentral:tRNA from 1 species